rfam:Arabidopsis thaliana chromosome 3, complete sequence.
GAAUGCGAUCAUACCAGCAUUAAUGCACGGGAUCCCAUCAGAACUCUGCAGUUAAGCGUGCUUGGGCGAGAGUUGUACUAGGAUGGGUGACCUCCAGAAAAGUCCUCGUGUUUUGCCAUUU